ACUUUGCUUGGGGAGGAGCUUGGCUACAAGGAUGAACUCGGCUUGGUGCAAAAGCAGCUUGGCUUGGCAGCUUAGGGGAUGCAGAUUUAUGGAGAGGGUCGUGACUAGGUCGGCUUACCAUGGGUUGACGUGCGGAUGUACUGGACGGGUUGGCGGAAAAAGUUUCUUUUAAUGCUAAACGACACCGUUUAAGGGACUAUAAAAGCCUCUUUUCAAGCCUUUCUCUCCAUUCUUAAAGUUUUGUUUCUCUCUCUAUCCUCUGUUAUUCUCUCUCUUUCCCUUUUCAAGAUUUUUCAAAAACCAAAAUAAACUAAAAAACACAAGCCCAGCUUUAAGCUUUAUUAAAAAAUCAACGUUAUUCUGCUUCCCUCACUAUCGUACGUCACUGAAACAACUUCAAAAUUUUCCCACAAACUUGUCUCAAUCUCUUCUUCCUCAUACUCUAGCUAACUACUUCUAAAACUAUCUAGAUAGCCAUAGAUCUGUGCUCGAAAGUCAUGAUUUCCAUCUUGGUUCCUACACUCCUAUGGCCACUUCUUCAAGGAGGUGGGUGAUGAAACUUGGUUCUUUUUGGGUUUCUGGGUAGUGGUCGGAGUCACAGUCGCUUCUGGGUUGCAAAGCUAUUACUGUUGGCUUAUGAAUUUCCUGAUUGUUGGUUGGAAUUGAAUUUGAGACUGUGGUUAGGUGUGCCGUGCGUUGCCUUGGUUCUACUGUGGUGGAUUUGCAAGUGUUUUGCUAGGUAUUUGGUGGAUUUUUUAUUCUGGUGGAGCCUAGUUGAAUUGGUGAUAGGGUUGGAUUGAUCGACGGUAGCAGUGUGAUGUGAAUAAUGGUUUUCAAUUUGGCAAUGGUGUUUGUGGUUUCACAUGAGGCUAUGACUGGUGAUGGCAAUGGUAGAGAAAGGCGAUGUUAGUCUAAGCCGUUGCUAAAGUGGAGGAAAUAGGCAAUUCAAAAUAACCUGGAAGAGGUGGUCCUGAUGUUGUUGGACUGUUUUCAUGAUUCUCAUACACGUGUUCGAUGGGCUGCUAUUAAAGCCAUUGGACAUUAGAGCGUACACUUGAGCCCAAACUUUCAGCAGGAAUGUCAUCACCUAUGUUUACCUGCAUUAGCUGUAGUCAUGGAAGACUUCCGAUCUUCUCAAGAACAGGUCCUUGCUGCUUCAGCAAUAUUGAAUUUCAUAGACUAUGGUGGACCUAAUAGUAGAGAUAUAAUUCGUUAUUACAGGGGGCUUUUGAGCAAAUUUCGUGCACUCCUUAGGGUAUAUAAUCUUUCACUCAAACAGGCAUUUGUUUUUCUUUUUUUUCUUUGAUGAUUGAGUUUACGUGUAAUUAUCAGUAAAUUGUAUCUCAAUCCUGACUCGUCUCUGGCACUUGAGGUUUGUUCGAGAGAUGACAUAACGAAACAAUUGUAUCUCGAUCCUGAUGUUACGCAUACUUCUAGUCGUGUGAUCUUGGAUGCGGCGAUGGGAAAAUGUAGACUGUUACUGCCCUGAUCUUGGCUGCGGAUGAGGGAACGCUUAUGUAAACUUGCGGUGCUGUAUAGCAAAAGAAGUAGCUAGGAAAUGAGUCUUGCAGCUAACAGGAUCCUAAACUCCACAUCCUUGUACAUUUGAACUACCUAAUAUACUUUGAAUUCAUUCAUUACAUGCAUAAAAAAUAUGACAUAUAAACAGAAAAACACGUCCCUGAAAAUCAUAUUAGUGUAUUCAACACUUUAGCAUCUUUCCCUUUUAGUAAUCAAGAUACUAGAACUUCUGAUCUUUCUUAUUGAUAACUGCCAAGCACCAAUGUAUAUAUUUGUGUAUGGGGACAAAUAUCUGAGCAAAAUGGAAUAAUUGAUUUAAGGAUAAAUGCAAUGUUCAAUCUUGCCAAACAGAUGAUUAUAGAAAGAAAAAGAUAAAUACUUAGUUUGUCACAAUCAAACAGGCAGUACCCCAACAUCUUUUGUAAAGUCUAUAAUUAUAGCCACUCUCCGGGGACUCACUAACUGAGUAUCAGAGGAGAAAAAGUAGUUGAGAAAUUGAUAGUUAUACAAACUUACAUGAAAGAACAAAAUAAGGUAUGUGAAAAUUGAAGAAGAUAGACCAGCAAACAACUACCUUUUUAUAGAAGAAGGUGUUGAAAAAAUAGCAUUUCAGAAAUUUUUUUGGCUCUCUGUUUUCCCUUUCUUUCAGCAAUUCAAGACAGAGAUUAAUGACUUACAAAAGAGAAAUUACAUGUGGUAAAACCAUAUUACUAGAUAAAUUAACAAAUCCUUUCACUGACUACUAUCUGCAAAUACACAACACAAGAUAUAACCCUGAAAGUAAUUGAAAAUGACCUCAUCAUUCAACCAUGAACCUGGUUUCAAGCAUUCCAAAAUUUCUCCUCUAAUAUCAAUGCUUGAGUUCUUAUGAGAGACCAAUAUCUUCCUCCUGCAAAAGCAAACACAAAACAUUACAACACAAGUGACAUACAAUCAAAUAAUUAAACACUAACACAUGCAUUGUUACAUACCAGUAUUUUGGAGAAAAAGCUUGGGAAACCUAUACCGUCUCCUCUGUAAGAGGGAUAAAAGGUUCAGGAGUUAUUGCCUGGCAUUUGAUAAAUGAUAAUGUUAAUGCUAAUAAUUCUGAACAAAUUAGAAAUGCCGUUUAUUCUAUUCUAGAAGCAACAAAAAUUCUUUGAAAGACACUACCCGGACAAUGCAACUCAAUUAAAACUAAGCAAGCAAAAGAAUUUCACCUCUUCUUGCUCAUCCUGUGGUUUCUU